ensembl:snoRNA SNORA66 Small nucleolar RNA SNORA66
CUGCAAAGCCAGUUUCUUCCUCACUUUUACUUUUUAAAAUAAACUUUGCAGCUAAGGGAACCAGGUUUGCUAAAGUAAUUGUGGUGAUAGGACUGUAUUAGCCUCAGAAGCUACUGGGGUAGUUCAUUCUAUCCUCAUAUAGUA